GCUAUUCUCACUUCAAUAGCACAUACACUAAAAUUGAAACCAUAAAGAGAAGAUUAGCAUGGCUCCUUGCACAAGGAUGACAUGCACAUUUGUGAUGGGCUCUAUAAAACA